rnacentral:lncRNA from 1 species
CAAUCUAUAAAUAAUAGUUUAGGUUUCAGGAACUGAUUCGUAAAAAAACAUAAUUUUUUUUGAAAAAACUUCAAAUACCACCUCUGUGGUUUUACACUUUCUCACUUUAGUACUCUGUGAUUUAAAGUGUAUCAAUUUAAUAUCCUGUAGUUUCAUUUUUAUCAUUUUAUUAUCGAUUUCACUAAUUUUUUUCGUUAAAUCAGUGACAAAGUUAAAACUAAAGGGUACUGAAGUGAAUAUUCGAUAAACCUAGGUAGGGAAUCUAAAAUUUUUUAUAUAUAAUUUAACGAAAUAUUAAUGAAAAAGCUGAUAAAAAGAUAAAAAUGAAAUCACAAGACACUAACUUGAUACACUUUAAACCACAGAAUACUAAAGUGAGAAAGUGCAAAAC